CCCAUAAGAUUGAACGGCCAGAUAUAUUUGAGAAAAACACUUAAUUAGAGCCCUUAUACUCAAUUCAUCCAAAUAUGACUUAAAUUGAAUCAAAUACGGAUCGAAUACCAAUAUAUCUAUAUCCAUAUUUAUUUUAUUUGAUGAAUAUAAACACGAAUAUAGAUGUUAGUUGAAUAUAAAUUCAUAUCCAUAUUCAUUUUAAAUAGAUAGAGAUUCAAAUUCAAUAUGUAAAGUAUAAACAUAAAUAUGGAUAUAAUUUAGAUAAUUAAAUUUUAUGAGUAUAAAAUAAAAAAUCUUUCUCAGUGAAUGAUAAAUCAAGUUAACAUC
rnacentral:lncRNA from 1 species